ACUCCUACGGGAGGCAGCAGUGGGGAAUAUUGGACAAUGGGGGGAACCCUGAUCCAGCCAUGCCGCGUGUGUGAAGAAGGCCUAUGGUUGUAAAGCACUUUAAGCGAGGAGGAGGCUCUUUUUGGUUAAUACCCAAAGAUGAGUGGACGUUACUCGCAGAAUAAGCACCGGCUAACUCUGUGCCAGCAGCCGCGGUAAUACAGAGGGUGCGAGCGUUAAUCGGAUUUACUGGGCGUAAAGCGUGCGUAGGCGGCUUUUUAAGUCGGAUGUGAAAUCCCCGAGCUUAACUUGGGAAUUGCAUUCGAUACUGGGAAGCUAGAGUAUGGGAGAGGAUGGUAGAAUUCCAGGUGUAGCGGUGAAAUGCGUAGAGAUCUGGAGGAAUACCGAUGGCGAAGGCAGCCAUCUGGCCUAAUACUGACGCUGAGGUACGAAAGCAUGGGGAGCAAACAGGAUUAGAUACCCUGGUAGCUA
rnacentral:rRNA from 1 species